ensembl:lncRNA
CAAAAACGAACAGUGAGCCGGGGCUGGGUCACAUGGGGAAGCUUCAAGCGUUGUUUCCAUGGAGUUGUUUUUGCACGCUCGUUGCUGAUUGGUGAUGCGAAAUACGGCCAUUUAAUAACCUACCGCCACCAUUGGCUAAUGGUGUUUCUCCUCUAACCAACUGGAAUGCGUGCUUUUUACAAACUGAAGCAUGUACAGGAAGUUUAUAACUUCUUUCAAACCAGUUAUUUUGUGAAAACAGUGGAAAUCAUCUACAUUUCUUCAGCAUCAACAGAAAACAUUUAGAGUAAUAAGCUAUAUAUUUCCUAUUUUAAAGUGUGCAUGUGAGUACUUGUUUCUCUUUUGUAAUGUCAGGAUCAUAUACCCAGAAAGCAAACUGCAACUUCUCAAAUAGCUUGCUAGCCAGCUUAAAAUAAAUUGCUAAAUUUGCUAGCUUACUACGUUCAGUUUGUAGCUAACAUUAAGCUAGCAGGACGGUUUACUGUUAAAUUAUUGUUGUUUUUUUAAGAAUCUGAUGGUUGCAUUGUGUUCUUUGCGUUAUAAUCCUAGCUACAGAAUAACAAAAUACCUAGGCAGCUACCAGAUAAACUUUUUUUUAUCAAGCAGUUUGUCAAUAACAGAACGUUGUUGAAGGUCUCAGACCCAACCAACAUGGAUUCUUCUUCAGUACUGCGUCAGCAAAGUUAUAACAAAACCCUGCAGGACAAUUCAAGGUUCAAUAGAAUGACAGCGGACCCGAAGCCAGGCUCCAAAAACCCAUCUGUCCCUUCUAGACACCAGUCUGUACCCUGCGGACAAAAUUCCAGGCAGGGCUCUGAGAACCAGGACCCAACAGCAGGUCCAGACAAUGUGCAGAAACCACUGGGGACUGUCAAACCCAUCAGCAGACUCCCGGUGCUGGCCAAGUCCCUGCAGCUUCAAACCCCAUCUGACUUCACCCAGUCCCACAUGAGAUGGGAGCAGAACUCUUUGGCGGGUAAAGCUAAAAGGAAGAAGCCGUGCACCAAGCCUGUGCCUUUCAACUUCUCUAGUGCCAGAACCAACCGAAUAGGCGCACAGAACCAAAGAAACGGGACAAGUGCACUGGUGGUUAAUAGAAGGGCUGGUGAUCAGCCAACCCGAGCCGAAAGUGCUGGCGGCGCCACUGCGCAUUCAAACGAAAGAAUCGCAGCAAGAACUGCCAAACUGCCCAGUACUCUAAGAGCGACUCAUACCAAGGUCCAGUCAAAGUCAACGGUAGAAUUCGCUGCUCAACUCCCAGCACGACACUCGGAAGCCGAAAAAGCUGGUCUGGGACUGCAAGGCAUCUUGUCACAGCGCAAUGUAGAAGUGGGGAAGACUCCUGCAGGUGUCACCGCCAUGUCUUUGUCCCAGCAUCCAAAACAAAAGGCACAAUCUCCUUCAG